rnacentral:ncRNA from 2 species
GACUCCAUGAAGUCGGAAUCGCUAGUAAUCGUGGAUCAGAAUGCCACGGUGAAUACGUUCCCGGGCCUUGUACACACCGCCCGUCACACCAUGGGAGUGGGUUGCAAAAGAAGUAGGUAGCUUAACCUUCGGGAGGGCGCUUACCACUUUGUGAUUCAUGACUGGGGUGAAGUCGUAACAAGGUAACCGUAGGGGAACCUGCGGUUGGAUCACCUCCUUA